GAGAGUCCCUGUUUCCUCUUUUUCUUCCUUUUCACCCAACAAAACCCUGCUUCACUUACCCUCCAAGCUGUUUGCGAGCCUAAAUUUUCAUGGCGGGAUGGACAAGGACCCCAUCUUUAGCUGAACUGAGGAAAGUCUUGUAACAUUUUUGGUGUGCAACGUAGGGGCUCAAGAAGUGGCAAGUGAAAUGGGGACUCAAAAUCUUUCACUGUUGCUCCUAAGCCUUUCCAUCCUCGGAUUUCUGAGGGACACGACUGGAGAAAGUGAUUAUUUUACCAAGUCUUUGACUGGCCCUCCCUGCUUCAUAGGUACAAACCACUUUGGCACUCAUGGCAGGAUCUGCCAAGGUCAUCGGGACUUGGGGAUGCAAAGAUGGAAGAAAGAAAGAGGAUGCUCUGUCUUCACUACCUCGUGUACCUUGGGUAUCUGCUAGGAAGAGGAGACCACGGAUGCCUGCUUCCCUCUUUCUAAAUGGGUAGCCAUUCAUUUUCAGUCUCUACCACUUUCCAAUGCAUCCUG
rnacentral:lncRNA from 1 species